rnacentral:rRNA from 1 species
UACGGAGGGUGCAAGCGUUAUCCGGAUUCACUGGGUUUAAAGGGUGCGUAGGCGGGCAGGUAAGUCCGUGGUGAAAUCUCUGAGCUUAACUCAGAAACUGCCAUGGAUACUAUUUGUCUUGAAUAUUGUGGAGGUGAGCGGAAUAUGUCAUGUAGCGGUGAAAUGCUUAGAUAUGACAUAGAACACCAAUUGCGAAGGCAGCUCACUACACAGUCAUUGACGCUGAGGCACGAAAGCGUGGGGAUCAAGCAGG